rnacentral:rRNA from 1 species
GGGUUGUGAGGUUAAGCGACUAAGCGUACACGGUGGAUGCCCUGGCAGUCAGAGGCGAUGAAGGACGUGCUAAUCUGCGAUAAGCGUCGGUAAGGUGAUAUGAACCGUUAUAACCGGCGAUUUCCGAAUGGGGAAACCCAGUGUGUUUCGACACACUAUCAUUAACUGAAUCCAUAGGUUAAUGAGGCGAACCGGGGGAACUGAAACAUCUAAGUACCCCGAGGAAAAGAAAUCAACCGAGAUUCCCCCAGUAGCGGCGAGCGAACGGGGAGCAGCCCAGAGCCUGAAUCAGUGUGUGUGUUAGUGGAAGCGUCUGGAAAGGCGCGCGAUACAGGGUGACAGCCCCGUACACAAAAAUGCACAUGCUGUGAGCUCGAUGAGUAGGGCGGGACACGUGGUAUCCUGUCUGAAUAUGGGGGGACCAUCCUCCAAGGCUAAAUACUCCUGACUGACCGAUAGUGAACCAGUACCGUGAGGGAAAGGCGAAAAGAACCCCGGCGAGGGGAGUGAAAAAGAACCUGAAACCGUGUACGUACAAGCAGUGGGAGCACGCUUAGGCGUGUGACUGCGUACCUUUUGUAUAAUGGGUCAGCGACUUAUAUUCUGUAGCAAGGUUAACCGAAUAGGGGAGCCGAAGGGAAACCGAGUCUUAACUGGGCGUUAAGUUGCAGGGUAUAGACCCGAAACCCGGUGAUCUAGCCAUGGGCAGGUUGAAGGUUGGGUAACACUAACUGGAGGACCGAACCGACUAAUGUUGAAAAAUUAGCGGAUGACUUGUGGCUGGGGGUGAAAGGCCAAUCAAACCGGGAGAUAGCUGGUUCUCCCCGAAAGCUAUUUAGGUAGCGCCUCGUGAAUUCAUCUCCGGGGGUAGAGCACUGUUUCGGCAAGGGGGUCAUCCCGACUUACCAACCCGAUGCAAACUGCGAAUACCGGAGAAUGUUAUCACGGGAGACACACGGCGGGUGCUAACGUCCGUCGUGAAGAGGGAAACAACCCAGACCGCCAGCUAAGGUCCCAAAGUCAUGGUUAAGUGGGAAACGAUGUGGGAAGGCCCAGACAGCCAGGAUGUUGGCUUAGAAGCAGCCAUCAUUUAAAGAAAGCGUAAUAGCUCACUGGUCGAGUCGGCCUGCGCGGAAGAUGUAACGGGGCUAAACCAUGCACCGAAGCUGCGGCAGCGACACUAUGUGUUGUUGGGUAGGGGAGCGUUCUGUAAGCCUGUGAAGGUGUACUGUGAGGUAUGCUGGAGGUAUCAGAAGUGCGAAUGCUGACAUAAGUAACGAUAAAGCGGGUGAAAAGCCCGCUCGCCGGAAGACCAAGGGUUCCUGUCCAACGUUAAUCGGGGCAGGGUGAGUCGACCCCUAAGGCGAGGCCGAAAGGCGUAGUCGAUGGGAAACAGGUUAAUAUUCCUGUACUUGGUGUUACUGCGAAGGGGGGACGGAGAAGGCUAUGUUGGCCGGGCGACGGUUGUCCCGGUUUAAGCGUGUAGGCUGGUUUUCCAGGCAAAUCCGGAAAAUCAAGGCUGAGGCGUGAUGACGAGGCACUACGGUGCUGAAGCAACAAAUGCCCUGCUUCCAGGAAAAGCCUCUAAGCAUCAGGUAACAUCAAAUCGUACCCCAAACCGACACAGGUGGUCAGGUAGAGAAUACCAAGGCGCUUGAGAGAACUCGGGUGAAGGAACUAGGCAAAAUGGUGCCGUAACUUCGGGAGAAGGCACGCUGAUAUGUAGGUGAAGCGACUUGCUCGUGGAGCUGAAAUCAGUCGAAGAUACCAGCUGGCUGCAACUGUUUAUUAAAAACACAGCACUGUGCAAACACGAAAGUGGACGUAUACGGUGUGACGCCUGCCCGGUGCCGGAAGGUUAAUUGAUGGGGUUAGCCGCAAGGCGAAGCUCUUGAUCGAAGCCCCGGUAAACGGCGGCCGUAACUAUAACGGUCCUAAGGUAGCGAAAUUCCUUGUCGGGUAAGUUCCGACCUGCACGAAUGGCGUAAUGAUGGCCAGGCUGUCUCCACCCGAGACUCAGUGAAAUUGAACUCGCUGUGAAGAUGCAGUGUACCCGCGGCAAGACGGAAAGACCCCGUGAACCUUUACUAUAGCUUGACACUGAACAUUGAGCCUUGAUGUGUAGGAUAGGUGGGAGGCUUUGAAGUGUGGACGCCAGUCUGCAUGGAGCCGACCUUGAAAUACCACCCUUUAAUGUUUGAUGUUCUAACGUUGACCCGUAAUCCGGGUUGCGGACAGUGUCUGGUGGGUAGUUUGACUGGGGCGGUCUCCUCCUAAAGAGUAACGGAGGAGCACGAAGGUUGGCUAAUCCUGGUCGGACAUCAGGAGGUUAGUGCAAUGGCAUAAGCCAGCUUGACUGCGAGCGUGACGGCGCGAGCAGGUGCGAAAGCAGGUCAUAGUGAUCCGGUGGUUCUGAAUGGAAGGGCCAUCGCUCAACGGAUAAAAGGUACUCCGGGGAUAACAGGCUGAUACCGCCCAAGAGUUCAUAUCGACGGCGGUGUUUGGCACCUCGAUGUCGGCUCAUCACAUCCUGGGGCUGAAGUAGGUCCCAAGGGUAUGGCUGUUCGCCAUUUAAAGUGGUACGCGAGCUGGGUUUAGAACGUCGUGAGACAGUUCGGUCCCUAUCUGCCGUGGGCGCUGGAGAACUGAGGGGGGCUGCUCCUAGUACGAGAGGACCGGAGUGGACGCAUCACUGGUGUUCGGGUUGUCAUGCCAAUGGCACUGCCCGGUAGCUAAAUGCGGAAGAGAUAAGUGCUGAAAGCAUCUAAGCACGAAACUUGCCCCGAGAUGAGUUCUACCUGACUCCUUGAGAGUCCUGUAGGAACGUUGAAGACGACGACGUUGAUAGGC